GCGGUUGUAGUCUAAUGGUAUGACGCGAGCUUCCCAAGCUCGAAAUCCGGGUUCGAUUCCCGGCAUCCGCA
rnacentral:tRNA from 1 species